GCAAAAGAGACUGGGACCACUUACUUUCUAGCUUUAGUAGUUUCUGAACAUAAAAGACAUCAGCAGGGAGUCAUAUAUUCUUCCAGAAAUCUUUACUCAGGGAACAAAGACACAGCCCUGCAUCUCCAGGAGUGAAUUGGAUCACUCCGGGAAGUGUUCCAAGUGCACAGAGGGGGCCAGGCCGUAAGGAGGCAGGAAGUUACUCUCUGCCUGUCUACAAGCAAGAGAGGAGGGGACUCCUGAGAAAGAAGACAGAAGAUAGUCACCAUCAAAGAAAAGAAAUGAGGCCUCCAACUUUACAUAGAAGGCAGGCGUGACGGCAGCAGCAGCAGAGCUGGGGCAUCCACAUGAAGGAGAUGAAUCAGGCCAGAGCUCUUCUCUGCAGGAUCCUGGAGCGCAGCACAGCACAUGAUAAGGUGGAUGCUGCAUGUGGAGAGAAACAAGCUCAAGGCAAAUGUCAACCUUGCUCAUAUGGGCCGUGCCACCCUGAGGAGCCCAUGGUGAUAAAUGUUAAAGAAGAAAGAGGAAUUCAACUGAAAACUGCUCUGACUGCACCACAGAAAAUGCUGUGGACUUGCUGGGAUAUCUGUUAAAAUAGAAGGUUUUAGGAUAGACACCUAAAACAGAAUUCACCACAGUGCAGAAAGCCCUCAGUCAACACCCGUGCCCAUGUAACACACUGCGCAAUUGCCUGUGUGAAGGGAGGAGGUUGGGCUGAAAUAAUCCCCACACUACAGCAACUUCUUUGUGAAGUUUGACAGUUUGACAUUCUUGGUAUCAUCUGAUCCAGAAAACAAUCUUGAACCUGAGUCAUUAGCCUUAUUUCAUAUCAAAUAAGAACAUGGUAUACAUUUUUAUGCUAAAAAAAAGUGCAGCACUGUUAGUAGCAAUUGUUUUUUU
rnacentral:lncRNA from 1 species